CCCUAUUAUUUUUGAAUGUUAAUUUUUAUAUGUCUGAGUAGUAUUAGUUAUGUUCUUGAAACUUAAAGAAUUUGGCGGUAUCUCAUUCUGUCCAGAGGAAUCUGUCUCGUUAUCGAUAGUCCGCGUUGGACCUUACUUAGUUGUGUUGGUUUGUAUACCGCCGUUUAUUUGAUUAUCUUUUUAGGGUUAAGUGAAUUUUCUGGUUUCUUUAUUUUGAUUUAUUUCAGGUCAAGGUGCAGCUUGUUUCUAAGUGGAAUGAUGGAUUACAUUGUUAUUUGUUUAUUGGAUUGUUGAUUUUAAUAUUGGCAUGAAAUUGGAUUUGGUUGUAAUUAUUUGUAGAUUGUUAUGGUGAUAAUUGGUUCUGGGAUAUGUACACAUCGCCCGUCACUCUCGUUUAAAUGUUGUUGAUGAGAUAAGUC
rnacentral:rRNA from 1 species